rnacentral:lncRNA from 1 species
GUGUUUCUCUUUAAAGUUAAAGGUUCAAGGUAUGUGGGAUGUUCAUUCAUGGGUUUUGUUUCACCCAGGGAGCCCCAAAACCCUUUUUUCGAUUAAAGAUUGAAUAUUUCUAUCAUUAUUAUAUUUUGUAUUGAUUAAGAUGGGUUCAAUUCAUGUUUCCAUGGUAAUUUAAAUGCAAUUUAGUCCAUGUAUGCUCCCAUGCAAGAUUUUGAAUUCCUCAUGCUAUGAAUUCGAGUUCCCCAUGCUUUAUUCAAGUGAAUUUUAUGAUGAAUCCUAAAUUUAUGAAUCUCGACAAGCAUUCCCAUGUUAAAUUCAUGAUACCCACAUG